AGCAGUGUGGCUCAGUGGAAAGAGCAUGGGCUUGGAAGUCAGAAGGACCUGGGUUCUAAUUCUGGCUCUGCCA
rnacentral:tRNA from 1 species